CGUCUUCCUCAGGAGCACCCAAAACAGGGCGCAACGUAGGGCUCUGUUCAUCUCCACCUCGUGAAUAUUAGUGCCCCUUCCUUUGAUUAAAUUCCUCGAGCAAUUUCCAUGCAAUAGUAGUUGUGCCUUUUCAUCAUCGUGAAUUACCGACGUGGAAUGGCCAUGAUGAGAAAUAGAGAAAUCCAAUUCCUUCGCUACUUGGAGAAGGAAUCUUCAAACCACACUGUCAAAGAACUCAUCAACGGAACAUUUCCAAGUUUUUCACGGGGAGUACCAUCGGUACUUUGCCAAAUUGCCACAGAAAAUGGAUUUUGAAGUGUUCCCAUGAGGGUCGAGAAUUGAGUUGCCGAAGCCUGUGAAACCAGUCAAGGGCAGAUCCCUCCAUGGCAACCAAAACCUUACAGAUUUUCAUAUCACUAUUAGUGCCACGAAUUUCAAAAUAUUUCUUUGCAUUCGCUAGCCAACCCAGAGGGUCAAAACCGACAAAAGAGGGAAA
rnacentral:misc_RNA from 1 species